CAUGAUAAAAACCACCUACGGAUACUUUUACAUUCUCGAGAAAGUUGUGAAUAUGGCAACUAUCUUCAAAAAUGUGGCUAAGCGCAUGGCAGGCUGUGGCAAGCAGACUAAUGUCCCCUGAAGAUGACCACAUCCUAAUUCCCAGAAUUUAUGAAUAUGUUACCUUAUAUGGCAAAGGGGAGCUUGCAGAUUUGAUUAGGAUAAGGAUCUUGGGAUGAGGAGAUUAUACUGGAUUAUCUGAGUGGGCCCAAUGAGAGAGACAGAGAAAUUUAAAAAUACUACCCUGCUGGCUUUGAGGAUGGAGGGAGGGCCCAUGAGCCAAGGAAUGCAAGUCAGUUCUAGAAGCUGGAAAAGACAAGGGAAUGUAUUCACCUCUACAGCCUGCAGAGGAACACAACCUUACUGACACCUUGAUUUUAACCCAGUUAGACCAUGUCAGACUUCUGAUCUACACAACUAUAAGAUGAUAAAUUUGUGUUAUUUUAAGCCAUUAAGUUGUUGGUCAUUUGUUAUAGAAGCAAUAGGAAACUAAUAGGUCCUCAAAACAUUCUCUCUAAAAACAUCUCCUGCCUAUAAAAAAUAGUUUCAGAGGGAAUUAUAGAUUAAUUCAUCUUCAUUCCAUACUGGGCAUAAUUUAUCUGUCACUUUCCUGCCUAUCCAUACAGGCUUUUCCCUAAUCUAUUCUCAUCUAUUGGCUUGGCUCUUGACUAGUCAGGAAACUUUGGUGUCACUUGAAGUUCGAUUGGGGCUGACACUGCCUGUCCCCACCCAUCCUCCUACUCCUGCAGGGAGUGGGCAUACAUCCCAGGGAUAAACACAAGACAUAAACAUAAGGUUNCUUGAAGUUCGAUUGGGGCUGACACUGCCUGUCCCCACCCAUCCUCCUACUCCUGCAGGGAGUGGGCAUACAUCCCAAACGUGGCCAUAGUUGCUGACCCAGGGAUAAACACAAGACAUAAACAUAAGGUUCUCUGGCAGAGCCAUGGGAGAAGAUGUUCUCUUUAAGCUGGUGGCAUAUGAAAGUAGGGCUUUAGGGAGCAUGAUGCCUGCUCUGUAUAAUGAGCCAUCUGACAAACCAAGAGCCCUUAACGCAGUUUUUUUUUUUUUUUUCCAAUCGUAUUACAUCAUAGGAACAGUUCAAACACAGCCCAGGAAGCAAUAAU
rnacentral:lncRNA from 1 species